GGGACGGUGGCUCAAUGGUAGAGUGCUUGCCUUGAAUGCAUGAGGACCUGGGUUCAAUUCCUCACCACCACA
rfam:Dipodomys ordii contig_68385, whole genome shotgun sequence.